AUUUGAAAAGAUCUGAAGAUACGCCCCUUGGAUGCCUGCAGAGAAGCUCUGGGGCUUCAGUCAAUGACUCAGGGUAGCCACCGAACAUGAUGCUCGGGCAGUGGGUGCCACCUGGACUCCACUCUCCCCUCUCUCUGGGAUCAUAGAGUCCAAGGUGUUCUGUGGCCUCUCGGCCAAUCCCAGCAGCUCAGCGUGCAGAAGACCGAGGAGCCAUUGGAAUUCAACACAACACGAAAUAAUCAACAAAUUCGGGGAAUGUUAAUCUGACCAUCACCAGUUACAAAUGAUGUUUCAUGCUACCUUCUAUUCCUGCCUUCAUAAAUCAAGGUAAUUACUUGGCAAUCUGGCUAUGCCUUGUAAGGCAAAAGAGCUGUUCAUUUCUUGUGUCAAAUGGUGAACAGGGAGGGAGAGUAAAAUGGUAAAUAACCCUGCCUCCCAUCUGUGCCCAAUCAGCUCUAAAUCUCCAGGAAAAAAUGUGCUCAGGAUGGCCAGAGAAAUGUCCUUCCAACUGUGCAUGGAAAGGUAUGAUUUUGUGCAGCAGGUGAAGGACUGGUUAGAGUAAGUGUGUGCUGAGCUUUUGUGUUUGAAAGCGAGCCUGUGCACUUCUAACGAUUGGAAGGUUUCCUUGCCUUCUCCGAUCUUACACACAGCAAGGACAGCAAAGCCUUCCAGACCUGCCUGUGACAUGCACUGCACAUUCUAAAGAUGCCUAUGCAAUGGAAAACACCACUGUCUGCUCCAGCACAGCUGCCAUUCUUCCAUCUUAUCGACCUUAAUGCAACAACUCCUCACAGGCAGAGAUUUUAAAAUGUGUUCUUGGCAGAAGAGAGACUCAAAGAUGGGACAAAUGUGUCAUUUAAAUGCCUGUUAAAAUGGAAACAGACAUAGUAUAGUCAGAGGAUUGUGGCAGCUAAGAACAUAGUCUCUGGAGCAAAUCUGCAUGGGUGGCAAUGCCAAGCACAUGAGGUCCUAGUUGUAUGAACUUAGGAAAAGAAAAAGAGAACAUAUAUCCCCCUACCUUUUGAUUUCCAACAGUCUACUGAGAGGCCAAGAUUAUUUGCAGGGAAAGAAAAGGGGUCAAAAUGUUUUGCCAGUAACUCCCAAAUCAUCUACAGCCAAGGAGAAAAGUGUUUCAAGACAGAGGUGCUCAAUGGUAUCAAAUACUGCCAACAGACCAAGUAAUACAUGCAUUGAAGUGUCUACUGGAUCUAGCUAUAUCACCAGAACAAGGUUAUGGUGGAAAACGCUAGAAAUGAAGAUUUUGUCCCCAGGGAUGGGGGAUACAAGUUACCAAAGUAGUGGCGAGAAAAGGAAUUUUUAAUUUAGGACACUUAGGCCAUACUGAAGCAAGGUGACAAAAUGAAUAGCUACAAUGUCUCGUGAAUCUUGGGUUUCCAUUCACCCUGGUAUUCAAGAGAAAUUCUUGCAUCAUGGAAGUUGCAGUUGGAUAGGACUUUCUCAGCUGAACACUGUCAUCUGCCAGAGCUUCAGGCAAGAACCCAGAACAGAUGAAACCCCAGACAUGACAAAAUAAGCCAAAGAAUACCAGGCCAAGGUGUGAAAGGCCAGAUGAGAACAAGCAGCGUACACGAUUCUGUUGCCAACAGAUCUCCCCUAACAGUGUCGUGCACCAAAUUUCCACAGUGAAUGUCAGGAAAAAAUGGCAAUUGAGAUGAAGAAACUGAGGCAGACAGAGGUGAAGAAACUUGCACAAGGUCAAAGAACAAACGAUACAUAUUUUAAUAUGAUGAGUCUCCUGGGAUCUUUUAAAACGAAGUUGUUCAUACAUUAUAAUAAAUCCA
ensembl:lncRNA LINC00710 long intergenic non-protein coding RNA 710